rnacentral:rRNA from 1 species
GACGAACGCUGGCGGCGUGCCUAACACAUGCAAGUCAACUUGACUGAAGGAGCAAUCUGACAGUAGAGUGGCGCAAGGGUGCGUAACGCGUAAGUAACUUGCCCAAGGUAAGGAAUAACGUCGAGAAAUCGGCGCUAAUACCUCAUAAUGCAGCGGAUCCGCAUGGAUAUGUUGUUAAAGGUUUACCGCCUUGGGAUAGGCUUGCGUCUGAUUAGCUAGUUGGUGUGGUAACGGCACACCAAGGCUACGAUCAGUAACUGGUCUGAGAGGAUGAUCAGUCACACUGGAACUGAGACACGGUCCAGACUCCUACGGGAGGCAGCAGUGAGGAAUAUUGGGCAAUGCUCGAAAGAGUGACCCAGCAACGCCGCGUGGAGGAUGAAGGUAUUCUAUAUCGUAAACUCCUGUGAGAGCAGACGAAAGACAGAUUAUAAUCUGGAUGACUGUAUGCUCAGAGGAAGCCCC